AUCGCUUCUCGGCCUUUUCGCUAAGAUCAAGUGUAGUAUCUGUUCUUAUCAGUUUAAUAUCUGAUACGCGCCCUAUCUGGGUGCCAUAUAUUAAAUGGAUUUUUGAAACAGGGAGAUGGAAGAAGAGCUUGCUCUGUCCACUCCACGCAUUGACCUGGUAUUGCAGUACCUCCAGGACCGGUGCACCCCUC